rnacentral:lncRNA from 1 species
AAGAUUACAAAGAAUUGGGAGUACCUGAUUGAAGCUGUUAUUGUUGUACAAUCUCAUCUAUUUCCACAUAGGGGAUGUGGCCAAUCUUGGGCCAAUCAUUUCCUUUGCCCUUGAGGCACCUCUUUUUUAGAAUAGGACACUCCCGGAUUACAAGUCUUGCAAGUGUUGGUGGUAGCCCUUCCUUUGGCACAAAAGACCGGAGCUUAGGGCAACUGUAGAAUUCAAGACUUUUAAGAGACAUAAGGCUUCGGAGACCCAUGGAGGUUACGGAUUUCAAGUUGUGGAGAUUUACCAACCCGAGAGAGGUGAGAGAUGUAGGAAGAAGUAGGUGAGAGCCGGAAAAAGAAAGCAGAUCUGGGAAUGGGCCAUGAAUCCCGAGCUCAUCAAGUGAGGUGAGUGUGCGGAGGCCCCACCCAGAUAGAGGCCACCUCAUAUUCCCAUAAUCUGAAAUAAGAAGUUGUUUAAGGUUGGGGUUCAAAAACGCUUCUGGAGAGGACACCACAUCUGGACAAUUACAUAUGGUCAGAAGUCGAAGAGAUGUGAGAUUUUCCAGCAGAUUCCCUGGAAUCGACUCCAAUUGCUCGCAGUUCCAAAUGGUAAGCGUCUCAAGUGUGGAGGGAAAGUAGCCUCUCGGAAUGGACUUGAGAGAUGAACAUCCCCAUACACGUAGAUAUUCAAGACGACAAGUGUUGUUGUUGUCAAUUCCCUCAGGUAGAGACUCUAGUUUCUCACAAUUUUCAAUUAGCAGGUUCUUAAGGGUGACAGGUAGCUCCCCUUUCGGAAAGCCAAUAAGAGAUGGACAAUCUCUAAUUACCACCUGCUCAAGGGCACAACUGUCAAUCAUCAUUCCAUCAGGUAGUGUCUCUAGACCCUCACAAUUUCUCACACUAAGAUCUCUUAGCAUGGGCGGCAAACCUGUCUCUGGGAAUGACACGAGUUUCGGGCAAUUAUGAAUUAUCGUAUAUGCAAGAGAUGUGAGGGUGUGCAAUGCAUUUGGCAGCUUCUCUAAGUUGGAGCAUCCCUUCACUUCCAAGUAUUGAAGAUUGCAAGGCAGCCCUUGCUCUUCCAACGAUACAACCCCAUCACACCCAUCGAUCCAUAAACGUCGCAGACCACCAAGGUUUUCCAGUCCAAAUCCAGGCUUCCUCAAACAUGCCAACUCAUCACAUUCAGUUAUUCCCAGAUCUUCAAGGACCAUUAAGCGUUGUGCAAGCCUUUCCCAUAAACAACUCAGCCUCGAAAUUCCCCAAAUGUAUAAUUGGGUAAGUGAGGGGACAUCACCAUCCCAACUUUUUAACGACCCAACUACUAUUAAUUCAGUAAGAAGUGGAAGUCGUGGAAUUGACAUUUCCAGUUCUUGGCAUUCUCUGACAUGAAGCGUCACAAGGGAAGGUAACUCAUGAGGUAAGUUGAUCAAUUUUGGACAUCUUAUGAUUUUAAGCUCACGAAGGCAAGGAAACAAUGUUUUAGUUUCCUCAUGUCCCAAUUUGGGAAUUAACCAAUUGUUCCAUUCUGCCAUAUUCUCAAAUCUCAGAGAUUCCAAAGACUGAAAAGGGUUUGCGGUAUCCCCAUAGAACCCAUCACCUAUGCUUUUAACUUGAUUCAUUCCUUCAAUCACCAAGUCUCUGAGGAAGGUAAACCCCCAAGUGCUGGCAAUGAUGUGCAAUUUUUACAAUUUGUAAGUUCCAAACAAACCAUUUUGG